UCUGUGUUCCUGAGAUGGGCGAGGAUUGGUGGGAGAGAGCGGAGAUACAGAAGAUGGAGACAUAGAUGAUGUAUUGUAGAUGGAUACAAUGUAGAUGGAUGGACAGACGGACAGGUAGGUGAUAGGAUAAGUCAGGUUAAGAUGAUGGACAGAUUGAUGGGUAUGAGAUAGACGGAUGGAUAGAUAUGAGAUGGGUGAGGACCGAUGAUGGACAGAUAGGUGUGAGAUAGGUAAGGACAAAUGAUGGACGGACGGAUAGGUAAUAGAUAGGUGAGGACAGAUGACGGACUGAUAGGUGAGGACAGAUGACGGACGGAUAGGUGAUAGGUGAGGACAGAUGACGGACUGAUAGGUGAUAGGUGAGGACAGAUGACGGACGGAUAGGUGAGGACAGAUGACGGACUGAUAGGUGAUAGGUGAGGACAGAUGACGGACGGAUAGGUGAGGACAGAUGACGGACGGAUAGGUGAGGACAGAUGACGGACUGAUAGGUGAGGACAGAUGACGGACUGAUAGGUGAGGACAGAUGACGGACGGAUAGGUGAUAGGUGAGGACAGAUGACGGACAGAUAGGUGAUAGGUGAGGACAGAUGACGGACGGAUAGGUGAUAGGUGAGGACAGAUGACGGACAGAUAGGUGAUAGGUGAGGACAGAUGACGGACGGAUAGGUGAUAGGUGAGGACAGAUGACGGACAGAUAGGUGAUAGGUGAGGACAGAUGACGGACGGAUAGGUGAUAGGUGAGGACAGAUGACGGACAGAUAGGUGAUAGGUGAGGACAGAUGACGGACGGAUAGGUGAUAGGUGAGGACAGAUGACGGACGGAUAGGUGAUAGGUGAGGACAGAUGACGGACGGAUAGGUGAUAGGUGAGGACAGAUGAUGGACGGAUAGGUGAUAGGUGAGGACAGAUGACGGACGGAUAGGUGAUAGGUGAGGACAGAUGACGGACGGAUAGGUAAUAGAUAGGUGAGGACAGAUGACGGACGGAUAGGUGAUAGGUGAGGACAGAUGACGGACUGAUAGGUGAGGACAGAUGACGGACUGAUAGGUGAUAGGUGAGGACAGAUGACGGACGGAUAGGUGAGGACAGAUGACGGACUGAUAGGUGAGGACAGAUGACGGACUGAUAGGUGAGGACAGAUGACGGACUGAUAGGUGAGGACAGAUGACAGACUGAUAGGUGAGGACAGAUGACGGACUGAUAGGUGAUAGGUGAGGACAGAUGACGGACGGAUAGGUGAGGACAGAUGACGGACUGAUAGGUGAGGACAGAUGACGGACUGAUAGGUGAGGACAGAUGACGGACUGAUAGGUGAGGACAGAUGACGGACUGAUAGGUGAGGACAGAUGACGGACUGAUAGGUGAGGACAGAUGACAGACUGAUAGGUGAGGACAGAUGACGGACUGAUAGGUGAGGACAGAUGACGGACUGAUAGGUGAGGACAGAUGACGGACGGAUAGGUGAUAGGUGAGGACAGAUGACGGACGGAUAGGUGAGGACAGAUGACGGACGGAUAGGUGAGGACAGAUGACGGACUGAUAGGUGAGGACAGAUGACGGACUGAUAGGUGAGGACAGAUGACAGACUGAUAGGUGAGGACAGAUGACGGACUGAUAGGUGAGGACAGAUGACGGACUGAUAGGUGAGGACAGAUGACGGACUGAUAGGUGAGGACAGAUGACAGACUGAUAGGUGAGGACAGAUGACGGACUGAUAGGUGAGGACAGAUGACGGACUGAUAGGUGAGGACAGAUGACGGACUGAUAGGUGAGGACAGAUGACGGACGGAUAGGUGAUAGGUGAGGACAGAUGACGGACGGAUAGGUGAGGACAGAUGACGGACGGAUAGGUGAGGACAGAUGACGGACGGAUAGGUGAGGACAGAUGACGGACUGAUAGGUGAGGACAGAUGACGGACUGAUAGGUGAGGACAGAUGACGGACGGAUAGGUGAUAGGUGAGGACAGAUGACGGACAGAUAGGUGAUAGGUGAGGACAGAUGACGGACGGAUAGGUGAUAGGUGAGGACAGAUGACGGACAGAUAGGUGAUAGGUGAGGACAGAUGACGGACGGAUAGGUGAUAGGUGAGGACAGAUGACGGACGGAUAGGUGAUAGGUGAGGACAGAUGAUGGACGGAUAGGUGAUAGGUGAGGACAGAUGACGGACGGAUAGGUGAUAGGUGAGGACAGAUGAUGGACGGAUAGGUAAUAGGUGAGGACAGAUGACGGACGGAUAGGUGAUAGGUGAGGACAGAUGACGGACGGAUAGGUGAUAGGUGAGGACAGAUGACGGACGGAUAGGUGAUAGGUGAGGACAGAUGACGGAGGAUAGGUGAUAGGUGAGGACAGAUGACGGAGGAUAGGUGAUAGGUGAGGACAGAUGACGGACGGAUAGGUGAGGACAGAUGACGGACGGAUAGGUGAUAGAUGAGGACAGAUGACGGACGGAUAGGUGAUAGGUGAGGACAGAUGACGGACGGAUAGGUGAUAGGUGAGGACAGAUGACGGACGGAUAGGUGAUAGGUGAGGACAGAUGAUGGACGGAUAGGUGAUAGGUGAG